GGUUCCAUAAUAUAGUGGUUAGCACUUUUGCUUUACAUACAGAAGGUCCUGGGUUUCAUGCCCCAGUGGAGCCA
rnacentral:tRNA from 1 species